AGUGAACGCUGGCGGUAGGCCUAACACAUGCAAGUCGAACGGCAGCACAGUAAGAGCUUGCUCUUACGGGUGGCGAGUGGCGGACGGGUGAGGAAUACAUCGGAAUCUACUUUUUCGUGGGGGAUAACGUAGGGAAACUUACGCUAAUACCGCAUACGACCUACGGUUGAAAGCAGGGGAUCUUCGGACCUUGCGCGAUUGAAUGAGCCGAUUUCGGAUUAGCUAGUUGGCGGGGUAAAGGCCCACCAAGGCGACGAUCCGUAGCUGGUCUGAGAGGAUGAUCAGCCACACUGGAACUGAGACACGGUCAAGACUCCUACGGGAGGCAGCAGUGGGGAAUAUUGGACAAUGGGCGCAAGCCUGAUCCAGCCAUACCGCGUGGGUGAAGAAGGCCUUCGGGUUGUAAAGCCCUUUUGUUGGGAAAGAAAAGCAGCAGGUUAAUACCCCGCUGUUCUGACGGUACCCAAAGAAUAAGCACCGGCUAACUUCGUG
rnacentral:rRNA from 1 species